rnacentral:lncRNA from 1 species
CCCUCUCCCUCUCCCUCUCCUCUGUUAGUCCUGAGUAAGCCUCGCUGGAGCCAGAGGGAAGGCCUUCUCAGACCUGGUCAAAGAAAAAGGUAAAUUGAGUUUGUGUGUUUAUUUUGAUCUCACUAGUUAACUUCUAUGCUUCGAACCUCUUGUAUGAAGCCAGUGUGCUGGUCGCACGGUGGAGAGCAUCAUCCUGGAGGAGGGCAAGGAGGUCCUGCUAGGUGAAGUGGCCAGACUGGACAUUCCUACACCACCUUUGUCAAGGUGCUCCAGACAAGGACGGCUGCUAUGCCCUCUAUGACGUGAGCCAGGAGACCCAGGAGAGCAAGAAGGAGGACCUGUUUCAGAUCUUUCUUCUGAUGUCCUGCUGUUCUUGCACACCAGAGGCCAUGCCUUUUGGCACCUUCAACUUAUUGCCUGACUGUUCAGACUCCUUACCAUGUAACUAAAUAAAUUAAAAGGCUUUAGCAUGUGCGCUCUCUCUCUCUUUCCUUGGACCCCUAACGGCAGAGGAGUCUUCACAGGACCCAAAGAAAAAGCAGCUGCAGGUCACAGGGAGACAGACCUGAGCCAGAGCCACUUGGGCCUCACACAGCAGAGAAGACACAGACCUGGAGAUGGAUUCUGAGCUGUACAAGGUGAGAGAUGACGGCUUCUGACUGGAAGUCCAUCCCCUCCCAGCCUGCUGACUGCCCAGGGUACCACAAGGUCCCUCUCUCAUCCCAGCCCAAGUAGGCACACCCUGGGACUCUGAGUGACAGGAGAUGUAUCAGACUCCUGGAUAAAUUAGGCUAGAAGGACAUAGUUUUGGCCAUUUUCAGGCAGAGUUUCCUUCCUGCAAGGGGACCAGUCCUACCAGGAGCGCAUUUCUACUUAGGCAGUUAAGCUCUUCCCAAGGAGGUCCUGUUGUCUUCCUGCUCUCAGGAGGCCCUUCCUGCAUCUUCUGCAUGAUCACAGAGUCAUAGGUGUGGUAAGGAAUUCCAUGAUCAGUGUCCAAGGCAGCCAACCCUGAGCUCAGAGAAGGUGGGUGUCAGGUCAGGACAGACUGGAAAGUGGGGAGACUGGCAUU